CUAAGACAAGCACCAGCAGUUGAGUGCAAAUGGACCAAAAAUUUCUACUCAUCAGCGAUGAUGCAUACGCGACGGCACGACAAGAUAAUAUCCCUAUGCCUCCUCCACACUACUCGCGAAGUUCCU